AUGUACUCAUUCUAUUGGUUUAUGUCUUCUAGAGAACCCUGGCUAAUUCGGGAUGAAUCUGGCUUCUCCUCCUCUUUGUUAGCAAUCUCUGCAGUUGGGAUGAUGGCCACUAAGUUCAAUAAUUCAAACAAGUUGAGAGAAGGCUAUAAUCAUCAACUCAAGAUCCUCAGAGACGCUGACAGUGCACAAGUCUGUGCAUCCAGCUGGUGGAUGAUGGAAGGAGAUUCAAGCCCCUGUCUAUUUCUGGAUGCCUCUUAGCUAUGCCUCUCAGUGCUCUGCCUUGGCGUUUAACCUCAUUAAUAUGGAGGGUUGGGGGAUAUCCCUACUCUACUUAGGUUCAAUUCUCUCAGCCUUCACUUGUAUGAUUAUAAUUAUCAUUCUAUGUACUGAAUGGGUUUGUUGUGAAGUUACACGUGGUAAAAUAUAACAUCCUGUAGAUUAUUGACUGGAUAUAAGAUAUGGAUUGAAACAAUCCAGAAUAUGUUUCUUGAAUUGUUUGUUUAUUUUGUUGAUUGGGGGAGGGAUUGCAGGAAAGGGUGUGAUGGUUAAGGAUUUCAGCCCAAAAUAACAUAAUAUAACUUUAUCCUUUUUCAUUGGGAUUUGAAUUAUGUAUAGUCCAGUUUUAGCUAUUUUAACCCAAUGUUCUCUGCUUGUCUUAGAGCCUCUUUUUUUCCACCAACUCCAAGUAUAUAUCACUCAGAGAAUGUUUGUUAAUUUGUUCUCUUCUGGUGGCUGCCAUCCAGGCAGCAUUCAUAAGAGGGAACACUCAAGUUAAAAACCUACUAUGCCUACUCUAGCCAGGGGGUUAUGCAUGCAAAACAAAAAUUCAUGGGAAAUUUAAUCUCUGAUAAAAAUUAUAGUAUUUAUUAAUGGGAACAUUUUCAAAUACAAAAGCUAAAUAUAAAAUCAGAUGAAAAUCAUUGCCUUAGAUCUCUCUGUUAGUUUUCUUCUAAGUACAAACAUCUUCUUCCUGUGGCUCAGCCAACAUUUCCUUAUCUGGGAAUUGAGGAACCAAUGGUACAGAUAACCUAUCAAGGAGGGCACUUAAACAAGUCUUUAAAAGUUCCCCUGUCAGAAUCAUUUCCUUUGUGACUGGGAACACCAGGAAUGGGCAGAACAGUGUAAUGUGAGAUCUUAUUACAAUUGUAUUAUGGAAAAGUCUAUCUGGCUUAGUGAAACUAGAAUGACGCAAUCUUUCUGGUAAUUCCACGCUUGUCACUUGUGACUGAUAAGCUCAGCCACAAUUUUUAAAAUAUUG
rnacentral:lncRNA from 1 species